UACGUAGGGUGCGAGCGUUAAUCGGAAUUACUGGGCGUAAAGCGUGCGCAGGCGGUUCGGUAAGUCAGAUGUGAAAGCCCCGGGCUCAACCUGGGAACUGCAUUUGAAACUGGCGGGCUUGAGUGUGGCAGAGGGGGGUGGAAUUCCGCGUGUAGCAGUGAAAUGCGUAGAGAUGCGGAGGAACACCGAUGGCGAAGGCAGCCCCCUGGGCCGACACUGACGCUCAGGCACGAAAGCGUGGGGAGCAAACAGG
rnacentral:rRNA from 1 species